UUGCUAACGCGUGAAGGCGAGCACUCUAGACGAACUGCCGUUGACAAAACGGAGGAAGGUGGGGAUGACGUCAAAUCAUCAUGCCCCUUAUGUUCUGGGCUACACACGUGCUACAAUGGCCGGUACAGACGGACGCAAAGCCGCGAGGUGGAGCAAAUCCUAAAAAGCUGGUCUCAGUUCGGAUUGCAGGCUGCAAUUCGCCUGCAUGAAGUCGGAAUCGCUAGUAAUCGCAGGUCAGCAUACUGCGGUGAAUACGUUCCCGGGCCUU
rnacentral:rRNA from 1 species